rnacentral:rRNA from 1 species
UGCAAGUCGAACGGAGAAUUUCAAUAAGCUUGCUUAGAGAAAUUUUUAGUGGCGGACGGGUGAGUAACGCGUGGGUAACCUACCCAUAAAGCCGGGACAACCCUUGGAAACGAGGGCUAAUACCGGAUAAUCUUAAGCUUUGGCAUCAAAGUAUAAGGAAAGGUGGCCUCUGAGUAUGCUACCGAUUAUGGAUGGACCCGCGUCUGAUUAGCUAGUUGGUGGGGUAAAGGCCUACCAAGGCGACGAUCAGUAGCCGGCCUGAGAGGGUGAACGGCCACACUGGGACUGAGACACGGCCCAGACUCCUACGGGAGGCAGCAGUGGGGAAUCUUCCGCAAUGGACGAAAGUCUGACGGAGCAACGCCGCGUGUAUGAUGAAGGUCUUCGGAUUGUAAAGUACUGUCUUUGGGGAAGAAUGACUGGUUUGAAAAUAUUGAGCCAGUAUGACGGUACCCAAGGAGGAAGCCCCGGCUAACUACGUGCCAGCAGCCGCGGUAAUACGUAGGGGGCAAGCGUUGUCCGGAAUUAUUGGGCGUAAAGGGCGCGUAGGCGGAUGUUUAAGUCCGGUGUGAAAGAUCAGGGGCUCAACCCUGAGAGUGCAUCGGAAACUGGGCAUCUUGAGGACAGGAGAGGAAAGUGGAAUUCCACGUGUAGCGGUGAAAUGCGUAGAUAU